rnacentral:lncRNA from 10 species
GGGAGGUGGAGGUUGCAAUGAGUCAGGAUUGCACCACUGCACUCCAGCCUGGAUGACAGAGUGAGACUCUGUCUGAAAAGAAAAGAAAAGAAAAGUAGGAGAGAGAGCAAGAGGGGUUGAAGCCACUCCUGUGAUAAUGAGAACCCAUUCCUGCAGUCUGACAAUAGUCCACUCACAAGGGUGGCACCCUCAUGAUCUAAACACCUCUUAAAGGUCACAUCUCUUAGUACUGUUACAGUGGCAACUAAGUUUCUUUCUUUCUAUUUUUUUUUUUUUUUUUUUUUGAGACAGCAUCUGGCUCUGUUGCCCAGGCUGGAGUGCGGUAGUGUGAUCUUGGCUCACUGCAACUUCAACCUUCCAGGCUCAAGCGAUCCUCCCACUUCGGCCUCCCAAGUAGCUGGAACUACAGGCAUGAGCCACCAUGUCCAGCUAAUUUUUGUAUUUUUUUUUUUAGAGACAAGGUCUUACUACGUUGCUCAGGCUGGUCUCAAACUCCUGGGCUCAAGCCAUCCUCCUUGCCUUGACCUUGGGAUAUAGGCGCAACUCACCACACCCAGCCCCUAAAUUUUUCAAUGACCAGAAUUAAUCAAUUCUAUCCUUUCCUCCAAAAAGAUAAAAACCUUAGUCUGUUCUCACUUCAGUCCUCAUUCUUCUUCUCCUUGAAUUAAGCAUCCUUGAACUUCUCCUUGCAAUCCCAGAUCUUAGUUCUCUAUUAUUAUUAAUUUUUUAGUUAUACAUAAAAAUUACUUAAACUUCUCUGACUCAAAAAAAAAACCUUCUCCGUGAUGUGAUUAUUAUGCACUGCAUGCCUAUAUCAAAAUAUUUCAUGUAUCCCAUAAAUAUAUACACCUACUAUGUACCCGCAAAAAUUAAAAAUUAAAAAAAAUUUUAAAAUUACUUAAACUUAACUAUAAGUUAUAAUGGCUGCUUUGCUUAUAAUUGCCCACUGGAUACCACAUUUUCCUAUUUUUUGGAUUUGUUUUUUUGAGACACAGUCUUACUCUGUCGCCCAGGCAUGAGUGCAGUGGCGUGAUCUCAGCUCACUACAAUCUCCGCCUCCCCGGUUCAAGUGAUUCUCCUUCCUCAGCCUUCCAAGUAGCUGGGAUUACAGGUAUGUGCCACCACGCCUGGCUAAUUUUUUUAUUUUUAGUACAGACGAGGUUUCCUCAUGUUGACCGGGCUGGUCUUGAACACCUGACCUCAGGUGAUCCACCUGCCUUGGCCUCCCAAAGUGCUGGGAUUAUAGGUGUGAGUUUCUGUGUGCGACCUAACUUUUUUCUUAGAACUUUGAUUACAGCCGUGAGCCACUGCACCCAGCGCCUGGAUUCUCUUAGUCUUAUUAGGUUGCAAUCUUUGAGCAAUUCUUUCAGAGAGCAAAUCUGAAUGUGACAAACUUCCUGAGGUUUUGUAUACCCCCAGGUAUUUUAUUUUGACCUUUCAUUUGAAUAGUAAUUUGGCUGAGUAGAGAGUACAGGACUUGGGUUCAAAAUAACGUGUUUUUGUUUGUUUGUUUUUUGUUUUGUUUUUUGAGAUGGAGUUUCGCUCUUGUUGCCCAGGCUGGAGUCCAAUGGCGCGAUCUCGGCUCACUGCAACCUCCGCCUACCGGGUUCAAGCAAUUCGACUGCCUCAGCCUCCCAAAUAGCUGGGAUUGCAGGUUUGUGGACUCUUACAAAAGGAACAGUCGAAUUGAUUCAGCAUCAGCUAAGCAUGGAAGAAAAAAAAAUAUGUAACUGUGAAAACAAAAACAAAACAGAUUUCUGGCUGCUGUCCUCAGAAGCCUCCCGCACAGACGAUGUUCCUGACAGGAUCAACAAACGUCGCAUUUCACUGUCCCACAGUGCAGCUUCGUCCAUCAGCCACUGACUGGCAUGGGCCAGGAGCAGUGUUGGUCUCGGUGACAGUGACUUCCUUGCCCUGCUCUGAAUGAGUGUCCUUUCUGUGAAAGUAGGUCUCAUGGUUCUAGGGCUGAUCCCAGCGCCAUCCCACAACAUUUCAGUGUGCCCGACAGCGUGCCUGGCAAGCAGCGAGCUCCUGACAAUUGGAAGCUGCUAAUGCUGUUACAGACAUCUGCAAGCAAGUCAGAUCAGCCAGCUUCCAUCACGUGAGACACCUUGGAGGACAAAGCCACAUUGUGUGGAGGAAAACACACCACCAUUCAGGCCCAUCGUCAUCCUGCUUUCUCCUAUACUCAGUCUCCCACAGUGCCAGGUAGUUUUCUGCCUGUACUAAGAAGGGUGAAUGGAAAGGUGAGAUGUAAAAACAAACAAACAAACAAGGGCUCGAAAUGUCUAUGGGAAGAUAAAAUUGUAGCAGUGCUUUAGAAAACAAGAAGCGCAUGAUUAAAUGGACUGUUGUUUUCUUUAGAAUGCGGGUAUUAUCAUUGGUAUUGAGGUGACGCAUUAGGACUUUGAGGUGCCUCCCCCACCCUGGCCUCUGCGCUGGCAGUGAGAACCCAGCCCGUGCUAUCUUCACAGUUCUCAGCCCAUGGAAGCACAGGCCACCUGGGCUCCUGCAAACACCAGACGUGUAAUUAGAGGCUCCUGGGCUGGGAUGAUGUGGUGUGCAGACAAGUCUUAUCACGCGUCUGAGCCGCUGUGGGUGCCUGGAGUUGCCUCUGCAGCCCGGAGCGGAUGAGCGGAGGCUCCCGUGACUCACCCAACUGCAGGAACUGUCAACUGGCUUCUGCCCAGCCAAGAACUUUUAUCAAUCACUAAGUAGAGACACUGUGUACAAGGACACCGGUUCAUCCAAGAACAUCAGGACAGCCAGGAAUUCAAAACACAAAACACAGCUUCCUGCAUGUUGCACCCCAGGCGGCUCUGAGGCUCAGCCCAAGGAAGGUUUGGGGCUCGGGCCAGAAAGACACGAUUCACUCUGACUUACACAAGAGGGGAGUGUACAAAAGUCAUGCAGUCUCAGGGGAAGGCACUGGGCUAAACCCUCAUGACUGUAAAAUGAAGAAAUAGGCAUGAAGCAUGACUAGGGUGUUUAUUUGACGAGGACCCAGAGUUAUGUCCAAGGAAUGAAGGCGUUGCCUUUCUACAACAGAGCAAAAUGUCAAGUUAACUGAUAACAUGUACAUUCCUCAGGACUGGUCCCUCAGUGAGACAGCGUUUUUAGCGGGGAAAAAAAGAACAAAUAUAAGUGUUUUCCUGGAUGCUGUUUUAGGGAGCUUGCUACAGGUUUACUUGCUUGCGGUUCCUGGUAGGUUUCAGGAUUCCCAGGGUGAGAGGUGAUGGGCCAAAGAGAGGCACGCUAAACUGAUAGCCUGAGAUCACAGCUUCCUUCCUUCCUUUCCUUCCUCCCUUCCUUCCUUUUCUUUUUUUUUUUUUGAGAUGGAGUCUUGUUCUGUGGCCCAGGCUAGAGUGCAGUGGCGCGAUCUUGGUUCACUGCGAACUCCGCCUCACGAGUUCAACUGCCUCAGCCUCCGAGUAGGUGGGAUUACAGGCGCCCACCACUGCGCCCGGCUGAUUUUUGUAUUUUUAGUAGAGACGGGGUUUCACCAUCUUGGCCAGGCUGGUCUCAAGAUCCACCCGCCUCAGCCUCCCAAAGUGCUGGGAUUACAGGCGUAAGCCACCGUGCCUGGCCUUCUUUUUCUUUUUCUUUUUUUUUUGAGACGGAGUCUUGCUCUGCUGCCCAGGCUAGAAUGCAGUAGUGCGAUCUCCGCUCACUGCAAACUUCGCCUCCCAGGUUCAAGCCAUUCUCCUGCCUCAGCCUCCUGAGUAGCUGGGAUUACAGGCAUGCACUACCAUGCUCGGCUAAUUUUUGUAUUUUUAGUAGACGGGAUUUCACCAUGUUGGUCAGGCUGGUCUCGAACUCCUAACCUCAAGUAAUCUGCCCACCUUGGCUUCCCAAAGUGCAGGGAUUACAGGCAUGAGCCACCAUGCCCAGCCCCCACAGCUCUCUCUCUAAGACAAGUGCAAACUAGUACCUGGAAAGGAGUCCUUUCUUUCCAUUCCCGAGCCCCCUCCCCACACCAAAACCCCACCUGCUGCCAUGUGGCGGGGACGCUGAGGAACACUGACUAUCACAGAGCUGCCUUAAUGUAAAUGAUUUCCUCAGGUGCAGAAAAACAUACACACCAAGUAUGGUUUGCCACUCUGAAUUCUGGACAGAUAACAUGACGGCAGAAGUAAGCUUGUUUAAACACGCUCUAGUAAUAGCUUCUUAGUGGCUGAGGUUAAAGCAUAGUGAAAUUUGAUACAUUCAGGUGAAAAGCAAACAUGAAAAUUUGCAUCCUCCCAGCAAUCAAAUUACAUUAGACAUGGCUAAAUCAUGAUUUCAUGUAGUUAACAAGCAGUGAAGGGUGAGGCCAACCAAGUUCAGACAAAUUGAACCUUCUACCCAAUUCUACUCUCCUCUCCUCCUUUCUCCGAAUAAAACCCAAUACUCCUCUUUAACAAGUUGUAUGAUUCACAUGCCGAGAGGAAAAGGGCCAGGUUGUUUGUCAAUUGAUCUAGUCUAAAGAAAACAAGUCCUUGACUGUAUUUUAGUUUGAACAAAACUUAUUUUCCUAAGGAUAAGAAUACCUCGAAACUCUAGUACUAAGUUAGAAAUUCACACUAUGCCUCCUGGCUUGUCACGCACUUCCAAUUUGAAAAUAUGGAACCUCAAGGCUGUAGAUAUUUGAGGCCCUUAAGAGAAAAACAAUUCAUGUUUUUUUGUGUGUGUGUUUUUUUUUUUUUUUUGAGACAGAGUCUGGCUCUGUCGCCCAGGCUGUAGUGCAGUGGUGUGAUCUCGGCUCAGUGCAACCUCCACCUCCUGGGUUCAAGCAGUUCUCCCUCCUCAGCCUCCCGAGUAGCUGGGACUACAGGCACACGCCACCAUGCCUGGCUAAUUUUUGUAUUUUUAGUAGAGAUGGGGGUUUCACUAUGCUGGCCAGGCUGGUCUCGAACUCCUGACCUCGUGAUCUGCCCGCCUCAGCCUCCCAAAGUGCUGGGAUUACAGACGUGAGCCACCGUGCCCGGCCAUGAAUUCUUAAAAGUGUAAAGGACUGUUUUUAUUAGAGCAAAUGCAAAUUAACCUUGCAGGAAACCAUGGCAGAUCAAAGUUAACAUGCCUUAAUUUUAUCUUUUCAAUGACAAUGGCCAUAAUGCAUUAUUUACAUGACUCUCUCUCUC